rnacentral:rRNA from 1 species
UACAGAGGUCUCAAGCGUUGUUCGGAUUCAUUGGGCGUAAAGGGUGCGUAGGUGGCGCCGUAAGUCGGGUGUGAAAUUUCGGAGCUUAACUCCGAAACUGCAUUCGAUACUGCAGUGCUUGAGGACUGGAGAGGAGACUGGAAUUCAUGGUGUAGCAGUGAAAUGCGUAGAGAUCAUGAGGAAGACCAGUGGCGAAGGCGGGUCUCUGGGCCGAUACUGACGCUGAGGAGCGAAAGCGUGGGGAGCGAACAGG